rnacentral:rRNA from 1 species
AAAUUUGAAAUCUGGCGCAAGCCCGAGUUGUAAUUUGUAGAGGAUGCUUCUGGGCAGCGGCCGUUCUAAGUCUCUUGGAACAGGGCGUCAUAGAGGGUGAGAAUCCCGUAUGUGACCGGCGCGCACCCUCCACGUAGCUCCUUCGACGAGUCGAGUUGUUUGGGAAUGCAGCUCUAAAUGGGAGGUAAAUUUCUUCUAAAGCUAAAUACCGGCCAGAGACCGAUAGCGCACAAGUAGAGUGAUCGAAAGAUGAAAAGCACUUUGGAAAGAGAGUUAAAAAGCACGUGAAAUUGUUGAAAGGGAAGCGCUUGCAACCAGACUUCGCGGCGGUGUUCCGCCGGUCUUCUGACCGGUCCACUCGCCGCCGCGAGGCCAACAUCGUCUGGGGCCGCCGGAUAAGACCAUGGGAAUGUGGCUCCCUCGGGAGUGUUAUAGCCCACGGUGAUGCGGCGCGCCUCGGGCGAGGUCCGCGCUUCGGCAAGGAUGUUGGCGUAAUGGUUGCCAGCGGCCCGUCUUGAAACACGGACCAAGGAGUCUAACAUCUAUGCGAGUGUUCGGGUGUCAAACCCCUACGCGUAAUGAAAGUGAACGGAGGUGGGAGCUUCGGCGCACCAUCGACCGAUCCUGAUGUCCUCGGAUGGAUUUGAGUAAGAGCAUAGCUGUUGGGACCCGAAAGAUGGUGAACUAUGCCUGAAUAGGGUGAAGCCAGAGGAAACUCUGG